ACUCCUACGGGAGGCAGCAGUGGGGAAUAUUGCACAAUGGGCGAAAGCCUGAUGCAGCAACGCCGCGUGAGGGACGAAGGCCUUCGGGUUGUAAACCUCUUUUAGUAGGGAAGAAGCGAAAGUGACGGUACCUGCAGAAAAAGCACCGGCUAACUACGUGCCAGCAGCCGCGGUAAUACGUAGGGUGCAAGCGUUGUCCGGAAUUAUUGGGCGUAAAGAGCUCGUAGGCGGUUUGUCGCGUCUGCUGUGAAAACCCGAGGCUCAACCUCGGGCCUGCAGUGGGUACGGGCAGACUAGAGUGCGGUAGGGGAGAUUGGAAUUCCUGGUGUAGCGGUGGAAUGCGCAGAUAUCAGGAGGAACACCAAUGGCGAAGGCAGAUCUCUGGGCCGUAACUGACGCUGAGGAGC
rnacentral:rRNA from 1 species